rnacentral:lncRNA from 1 species
AUGGUUUGCUACUCUCUUGCCGCAGAACAUCCGACAAAAUCAUGCAAAUCUAGAGUUUCAAACCUUCAUUCAGUUUAAGAACAUCUGAGAAAUUGCCCAGGACAGCAAGGGUAUGCAUAGCCUCAUAGCGGCAAAGCCACCAAGAGGCUGAAGGAUGUCACUUUAAAGAAGCAAUGUGUGCCAUUCUGGAAAGAGUGCUAAAUUUUUGCUGCACAUGCUUUAAAAUGCAUAAAGUAAUGCUGAACUUCCGGUUUCGAUGUAGAUUGUCUAGUUAUUCAACAUAUCCAGGUGAACAAGGAACUUAAGACACACCGACGAACCUAUAGAGCAGAGCUCAUGGCUCGAUUAACCCAUACAUGAGCUCCCUAGCCACACUGAGAUGAUCCUCAUUGUGAAGGAACAGAUCGUUCCAAAGCCCGAAGAGGAGGUUGUAUAGAAGAAAGAGAUAUCCCAGAAAAAACUGAAGAAACAAAAUCUCAUGGCAUGGGAAUAA